GUCAGAAAGUUUUUUAGGUGCCUUUUGGCAAACUCCAAGCAGGCUGUCAUGUGCCUUUUACUAAGGUGUGGCUUCCAUCUGGCCACUACCAUAAAGGCCUGAUUGCUGGAGCUCUGUCAAGGAACUUUGGAGCUCUGUCAAUCAGAGUGACCAUCGGGUUCUUGGUUGCCUCCCUCUCCAACACCCUUAUCCCCUGAUUGUUCAGUUUGGCCAGGCGGCCAACUCUUAAGAAGAGUCUUGGGCACUCCGAACUUCUUCCAUUUAAGAAUGAUGGAGGCCACUGUGUUCGUGGGUACUUUCAAUGCUGCAUAAAUGUUUUGGUGCCUUGACACACAAUCCUGUCUCGGAGCUCUACGGACAAUUCCUUGCUCUGACAAGCACUGCUAACUGUGGGACCUUACAUAGACAGGUGUGUACCUUUCCAAAUCAUGUUCAAUCAAUUGAAUUUACCACAGGUGGACUCCAAUCAAGUUGUAGAAACAUCUCAAGGAUGAUCAAUGGAAACAUGAUGCACCUGCGCUCAAUUUCGAGAGUCAAAAGCCUGAAUACUUACGUAAAUAAGGUAUCUUUUUAUUUUUUAUAAAUUUGCUAUAAUUUCAAAAAACCUGUUUUCGCUUUGUCAUUAUGGAGUAUUGUGUGUAGAUUGAGAACAAUGUUUUUAUUUCACCCAUUUCAGAAUAAGGCUGGAUACUUUCCGAGUGCACUAACAGUAUGCCAAUGGGAGUGAGGACAGUAGCAGGUGAUUCAACGGAGGUAAUGCAGUUUUGUUCAUGGAUGGCGAGGCAUUACCAAGAAACCAGCAGCAAUUUACCCAGUCAUGCCUGGGAACUGGGGAGGGGUUGGGCCUCUAACUACAUCUGCUACAUGCCUGCUAAUAUGCAAAUAAAGUCGAUAUUGUGGCAGCGGCAUUUUGUCAGCGAAUGUGGAGCUAGGGUCCAAGUCAGAUUAUUAACAUAUGAAUACUUAUCAUUAGGAAGGCCUAGGUCAUUUAUAUGUCAAAUUGAAACAUCUAAUAUGCUUGGUGGUCCUCUCUUGCUUGUAAUGAAAUAG
rnacentral:lncRNA from 1 species